GGCCGUCUGGCGAAAUGGCAUCGCGUCUGACUACGAUUAGGGCGUGUGAAGCGCUUAUGUAAUCAAAUCAGGAGAUUGCAGGUUCGACCCCUGCGAUGGUCA